GACGAACGCUGGCGGCGUGCCUAAUACAUGCAAGUAGGACGCAGUUGCGAACGGGUGAGUAACGCGUCGGUAACUGCCUAUUAGAGGGGGAUAACUAUUGGAAACGAUAGCUAAUACCGCAUACUAGUAGAUGGACCUGCGUUGUAUUAGCUAGUAGGUAGGGUAAUGGCCUACCUAGGUGACGAUACAUAGCCGACCUGAGGGGGUGAUCGGCCACACUGGGACUGGGAAACGGCCCAGACUCCUACGGGGGGCAGCAGUAGGGAAUCUUCGGAAAUUGGGGGAACGCUGACCGAGCAAAGCCGCGGGAGUGAAGAAGGUUUUCGGAUCGGAAAGCUAUGUUGUUAAGGAAGCGUUACUUAACCAGAAAGGGACGGCUAACUACGUGCCAGCAGCCGCGGUAAUAC
rnacentral:rRNA from 1 species